rnacentral:ncRNA from 1 species
GAUAGAUGAAACGAACUCUGAAGAGAGAGUUCACAGUACGUGAAAUUGCUGAAAGGGAAACGCUUGAAACGAUUGUUGCCAUUGGUUUCGGCCUUGAGCGAGUCAGCAGCAGUUUUAAUCGGUAAAGAAGUGCUUGUGGAAGGUAGUUUUCUUUGGAAAAUGUUAUAUCCAUAAGUAACUGUGCCGGUUAGGAGUGAGGAUCGCUUUUAAGUGUCUUGUCGAGGAAUUUUGGGCCGUUAGCGCCAAGUCCUUGGGCUUGCUCAAGACUUGGUGUUAACUGUUCAGGACGUCCAAACACAAGGCCUUAAAAUAGGUUGCUGACAAAAUGGUUCUAAUCGACUCGUCUCGAGACGCGG